rnacentral:sRNA from 1 species
UCGUCUCGGGAAACACACCGUGAGCGGUGCA